CAUAGGAAGAGUCAAUGAAGUUUCAUUUUUGCUUUGUAUAAGAAAAGAGUGUACAUGUACCAGCAAUUUUGUUACAGGUAGAGCAACACCAAAACAACAGACAUGGAACCGACGGUCUUGAAGUUCUUCAAGGAUAAAGAGAUCAGUCCAUGUGUGGCUAUCACAGAAGCAGAUUUGAAAUGGAAAUCUCCCUGUAUUUUUUCUACCAUGAUCCGGUGGCUUCUCAUUUCCCACUGGCUUUAGAGGCUGGAAUCUUCAAAAUAGACCAACUAAGCUGAACAAGCCCUUCAUCAGCCACAUGACAAGAU